UUUUGGAUGUAAAUUAACCAGAGCACUAUGAAUGUAUAAAGAUUUAAAACUCAAAGGACUUGGCGGUGUUUUAGACCACUCAGGGGAACCUGUCUCGUAAUCGAUAAUCCGCGUUGCACCUGACCUCUUUUUGUUCUCAGUUUGUAUACCGUUGUCGUCAGGUAACUUUUUAGAAACUAGAAGUUAGCUAUAGAAAUAUAGUUUAAUACGUCAAAUCAAGGUGCAGCUUAUAUAGAGGGGAGGAUGGGUUACAAUUAUAAUUUAUAAUAACGGAAGGUGGACUUGAAAGUAAAUUGGAUAUAAGUAAUUUGAAUAAGGCUCUGAAACGUGU
rnacentral:rRNA from 1 species